AAGACAGACCUGUCUCUCCAAGAAACCAUGCUUCACUUUCUGUGCAGCAUGGGGAGGGAGAGAGCGAGUCCAUGGUUGCCAUGAAUUAUGGGAAAUACCGUCUGGCAAGGGAGCCCAGCUCACACAUGAGAAUUCAGGCAUGAGUGGAACAAAUGUAAUGUUGGGAGAAGAAUAUCUCGUGCUGAUAGGGAGCUAUCUGGUAAGAAGCUUGAAGCAGAGUGAUGCCAGCAGUGCUUCAAUCAAAAGCAACACACAGGAAAAGUUGUGCUAGAAACCACAGCAUAUGCACUUGGUGCCAACCCCAUCCUUCCCAGCUGACACACAUGCAUGCUUGGGGAUAUGGUUUGGAGCAGUAAUCAAGCAUUAGAGUGAACUCUCUUCUACUGCUUAUCCAAGGGAUGGGAUGCAGGAAGUUACACACUCUCUUUAUCCCAUCCACCAGAUGCACUUGUAUUAGAACAGGGCAUGAGCUAGCCCUAAAUGUCUUUGUAAAUCCAGAAACAGAGAGCCAUAGCUCUUUUACUUAAACCACUUAGGAAGAAGGUGCA